rnacentral:rRNA from 1 species
UCGGGAAUUUUGGGCAAUGGGCGAAAGCCUGACCCAGCAACGCCGCGUGAAGGAUGAAGUAUUUCGGUAUGUAAACUUCGAAAGAAUGGGAAGAAUAAAUGACGGUACUAUUUAUAAGGUCCGGCUAACUACGUGCCAGCAGCCGCGGUAAUACGUAGGGACCAAGCGUUGUUCGGAUUUACUGGGCGUAAAGGGCGCGUAGGCGGCAAUUCAAGUCAUCUGUGAAAUCUCCGGGCUUAACUCGGAACGGUCAGAUGAUACUGCUUUGCUAGAGUGCAGAAGGGGCAAUCGGAAUUCUUGGUGUAGCGGUGAAAUGCGUAGAUAUCAAGAGGAACACCUGAGGUGAAGACGGGUUGCUGGGCUGACACUGACGCUGAGGCGCGAAAGCCAGGGGAGCAAACGGGAUUAGAUACCCUAGUAGUCCCUGAGCGGGCUGGCAAGGCGCAU